UACGUAGGGGGGCAAGCGUUGUCCGGAAUCAUUGGGCGUAAAGCGCGUGUAGGCGGCUCAGUAAGUCCGCUCUGAAAGCCCCGGGGGCUUUAACCCCCGGGAGGCGGGGUGGAUACUGCUGAGCUUGAGUCCGGAAGAGGCGAGUGGAAUUCCCCGGUGUAGCGGUGAAAUGCGCAGAUAUCGGGAGGAACACCAAUGGCGAAGGCAGCUCGCUGGGACGUGACUGACGCUGAGACGCGAAAGCGUGGGGGAGCAAACAGG
rnacentral:rRNA from 1 species